UUCAAUCCUUUGUUUGUCUGAAAUGUAUUUUUGUGCUUUGUGUUCAGGUCCUGAGAGACAGAAAGAGGCAUGGAGAAUUGGAGAAUAUCCGCAGAGGCUCUGCCAUGUCGUGAAGAAAAUGGUGAAGGAGAAGGCAGCACAGGGUCCUGAGAGACAGAAAGAGGCAUGGAGAAUUGGAGAAUAUCCGCAGAGGCUCUGCCAUGUCGUGAAGAAAAUGGUGAAGGAGAAGGCAGCACAGGGUCCUGAGAGACAGAAAGAGGCAUGGAGAAUUGGAGAAUAUCCGCAGAGGCUCUGCCAUGUCGUGAAGAAAAUGGUGAAGGAGAAGGCAGCACAGGGUGGGUGUCUUUCUGUCUGUUCACUGAAGGACUGGGGAAGCAGAG